CGCUGCCCGCGAUGUCAUCUCUGCAUAUUUAUAGCGUCUCCGUGGAGAGGCUGUGCAUUAUAGAGAUGACAUUAUUUUUCUCCCGGAUGAUGGCUAGAGAAGCAGUGAGUCCCUUCACGGUGACGUCAGACCCUCACGACCAACGAGAAGCCUUUCGUAAAAUGAUGCUUCGUGGCGUUAAACUCCCCCUUGACCAAAGCCUUGUAUGCUGGCCUUCCCUCUCUGCCGCUUUGGAACAGACUCUCAGAGCCCUGCCUCCCGGGCUGCGGUCCUCAUUCUGCUCCAAAUACAACUUGGCUUGCAACG
ensembl:lncRNA